CCCUUAGAUGUUCUGGGCCGCACGCGUGCUACACUGAGUGGAUCAGCGGGUCAGGUUGCGCGAAAGCGUUUCCUAAUCUUUAAAUCCGCUCGUGAUGGGGAUUGACGGUUGCAAUUUUCUGUCAUGAACGAGGAAUACCUUGUAAGCGCGGGUCAUCAUCCCGCGCUGAAUACGUCCCUGCCCUUUGUACACACCGCCCGUCGCUCCUACCGAUUGAGUGGUCCGGUGAGGCUUUGGGAUCUGAGCGGAAAGAGCGUUUCGCUGUUUCUGUUCGGAAAACUCAGUCGAACCUUAUCAUUUAGAGGAAGGAGGAGUCGUAACA
rnacentral:rRNA from 1 species